rnacentral:rRNA from 1 species
GAUGAACGCUAGCUACAGGCUUAACACAUGCAAGUCGAGGGGCAGCAUGUCGGUUGCUUGCAACCGACGAUGGCGACCGGCGCACGGGUGAGUAACGCGUAUCCAACCUACCCUUGUCCAUCGGAUAACCCGUCGAAAGGCGGCCUAACACGAUAUGCGGUUCUCAGCAGGCAUCUAACGAGAACGAAAUGUGAAGGAGAAGGAUGGGGAUGCGUCUGAUUAGCUUG